rnacentral:rRNA from 2 species
GUGCGAGACCGAUAGCGAACAAGUACCGUGAGGGAAAGAUGAAAAGAACUUUGAAAAGAGAGUUAAAGAGUACCUGAAACUGCUGAAAGGGAAUCGAAUCGUUUCCAGUGUCUAUAAUCUGUGGCAUAUUUCAUUGGCGAGUGUGUGCGUGCAUUGUUUUGGAAGCAGUUUUCUGUUCCUGGCUGUGUUGUGCAUUUGCUUGCUGGUGCCCUGUGUCGCGGUGGGACGUCAGAGUCAAUUCGUAAGUUGCGGGAAAUGGCUAUUGGGGAGGUAGGUCACUUCGGUGGCUGUUAUAUCCUGAUAGCUAGUAGUCGUGGCUGGGAUUGAGGUGCCUACAACGUGCUUUCGAGUGUCUGGGUGUCUCGUUUGGUAAGUUAUCUUGACAGCUUGCUGUGUUGGUGAUAUUAUCGAGCGAUUGAUGUCUGGUCUAAACUUGUUGCUGUUCGGGACUUUGA